AGAUUGAACGCUAGCGGGAUGCUUUACACAUGCAAGUCGAACGGCAGCGCGGACUUCGGUCUGGCGGCGAGUGGCGAACGGGUGAGUAAUAUAUCGGAACGUGCCCAGUAGCGGGGGAUAACUACGCGAAAGCGUGGCUAAUACCGCAUACGCCCUACGGGGGAAAGGGGGGAUCGCAAGACCUCUCACUAUUGGAGCGGCCGAUAUCAGAUUAGCUAGUUGGUGAGGUAAAGGCUCACCAAGGCGACGAUCUGUAGCUGGUUUGAGAGGACGACCAGCCACACUGGGACUGAGACACGGCCCAGACUCCUACGGGAGGCAGCAGUGGGGAAUUUGGGCAAUGGGGGAAACCUGAUCCAGCCAAUCCCGCGUGUGCGAUGAAGGCCUUCGGGUUGUAAGCACUUUGUUAGGAAAGAAAGACAUUCGGUUAAUACCGGUGUUCUGACGGUAACCAAAGAAUAAAGACACCGGCUAAACUUCGUAGCCAGCAGACCGCGGU
rnacentral:rRNA from 1 species